AAUAGAAAAGCGAAACUUCGCAAUCAAUUUCGACCUGAUCUUUUGGAGUUAAUCCUUCUAUUU
rnacentral:tRNA from 1 species